AUUGAACGCUGGCGGCAGGCUUAACACAUGCAAGUCGAGCGGGGGAAGGUAGCUUGCUACCGGACCUAGCGGCGGACGGGUGAGUAAUGCUUAGGAAUCUGCCUAUUAGUGGGGGACAACAUCUCGAAAGGGAUGCUAAUACCGCAUACGUCCUACGGGAGAAAGCAGGGGAUCUUCGGACCUUGCGCUAAUAGAUGAGCCAAAGUCGGAUUAGCUAGUUGGUGGGGUAAAGGCCUACCAAGGCGACGAUCUGUAGCGGGUCUGAGAGGAUGAUCCGCCACACUGGGACUGAGACACGGCCCAGACUCCUACGGGAGGCAGCAGUGGGGAAUAUUGGACAAUGGGGGGAACCCUGAUCCAGCCAUGCCGCGUGUGUGAAGAAGGCCUUAUGGUUGUAAAGCACUUUAAGCGAGGAGGAGGCUACUCUAGUUAAUACCUAGGGAUAGUGGACGUUACUUGCAGAAUAAGCACCGGCUAACUCUGUGCCAGCAGCCGCCGUAA
rnacentral:rRNA from 1 species